CUGAACCAGCCAAGUAGCGUGCAGGAAGACGGCCCUAUGGGUUGUAAACUGCUUUUAUAAGGGAAUAAAGUGAGUCUCGUGAGACUUUUUGCAUGUACCUUAUGAAUAAGGACCGGCUAAUUCCGUGCCAGCAGCCGCGGUAAU
rnacentral:rRNA from 1 species